CCUCUCCUCCCCUCUACUCCCAUCUCUCCUCCCAUCUCCCCUUUCUCUCCCUCCACCUCUCCUCCCCUCUCCUCCCCUCUACAUCUCUCCUACCCUCUCCCCUUUCUCUCCCUCCACCUCUCCUUCCCUCUCCUUCCCUCCCAUCUACUCCAACCAAAAUACACAACCCUAUUUCCCCCAUGCCCAGGCUCUAGCCGAGGUUAAUCAAAAUCAGUCUGUUUAAGUUAGAGAUAUUCCGGGGUGGCAGGUAGCCUAGUGGUUAGAGUGUAGAGACGGCAGGUAGCCUAGUGGUUAGAGUGUAGAGGCAGUAGGUAGUCUAGUGGUUAGAGUGAAGGGGCAGUAGGUAGCCUAGUGGUUAGAGUGUAGAGGCGGCAGGUAGCCUAGUGGUUAGAGUGUAGAGGUGACAGGUAGCCUAGUGGUUAGAGUGUAGAGGCAGUAGGUAGCCUAGUGGUUAGAGUGUAGAGGCAGUAGGUAGCCUAGUGGUUAGAGUGUAGAGGUGGCAGGUAGUCUAGUGGUUAGAGUGUAGAGGAGGCAGGUAGCCUAAUGGUUAGAGUGUAGAGGAGGCAGGUAGUCUAGUGGUUAGAGUGUAGAGGUGACAGGUAGCCUAGUGGUUAGAGUGUAGAGGUGGCAGGUAGCCUAGUGGUUAGAGUGUAAAGGUGGCAGGUAGCCUAGUGGUUAGAGUGUAGAGGAGGCAGGUAGCCUAGUGGUUAGAGUGUAGAGGUGGCAGGUAGCCUAGUGGUUAGAGUGUAGAGGCGGCAGGUAGCCUAGUGGUUAGAGUGUAGAGGAGGCAGGUAGCCUAGUGGUUAGAGUGUAGAGGUGGCAGGUAGCCUAGUGGUUAGAGUGUAGAGGCGGCAGGUAGCCUAGUGGUUAGAGUGUAGAGGAGGCAGGUAGCCUAGUGGUUAGAGUGUAGAGGUGACAGGUAGUCUAGUGGUUAGAGUGUAGAGGCGGCAGGUAGCCUAGUGGUUAGAGUGUAGAGGAGGCAGGUAGCCUAGUGGUUAGAGUGUAGAGGUGACAGGUAGUCUAGUGGUUAGAGUGUAGAGGUGGCAGGUAGCCUAGUGGUUAGAGUGUAGAGGUGGCAGGUAGCCUAGUGGUUAGAGUGUAGAGGUGGCAGGUAGCCUAGUGGUUAGAGUGUAGGGGUGGCAGGUAGCCUAGUGGUUAGAGUGUAGAGGUGGCAGGUAGCCUAGUGGUUAGAGCGUUGGACUAGUAAUCAAAAGGUUGCUAGAUCAAUUCCUCUGAGCUGACAAGGUAAAAAUCUGUUGUUCUGCACC
rnacentral:lncRNA from 1 species